rnacentral:sRNA from 1 species
UGAAAAGGCACUGGAUGGAGGGUGAGAAGCUCCACCGAGGUUCGGCGCUAAGCGCCACGAGGAGCGUAGCGACGAGCCCGAAGGGUGAGGUCGCAGGCCGAAUAAUCCUCCAUCCCCAGCCA